GACGAACGCUGGCGGCGUGCUUAACACAUGCAAGUCGAACGGAAAGGCCCUGCUUUUGUGGGAUGCUCGAGUGGCGAACGGGUGAGUAACACGGGAGUAACCUGCCCUUGACUUUGGGAUAACUUCAGGAAACUGGGGCUAAUACCGGAUAGGAGCUCCUGCUGCAUGGUGGGGGUUGGAAAGUUUCGGCGGUUGGGGAUGGACUCGCGGCUUAUCAGCUUGUUGGUGGGGUAGUGGCUUACCAAGGCUUUGACGGGUAGCCGGCCUGGGAGGGUGACCGGCCACAUUGGGACUGAGAUACGGCCCAGACUCCUACGGGAGGCAGCAGUGGGGAAUAUUGCACAAUGGGCGGAAGCCUGAUGCAGCAACGCCGCGUGCGGGAUGACGGCCUUCGGGUUGUAACCCGCUUUCGCCUGGGACGAAGUGUGAGUGACGGUAAUGGGUAAAGAAGCACCGGCUAACUACGUG
rnacentral:rRNA from 1 species